ACGGCAACAGACUCCGCGAUGUGCAUUGACGGAGAGGAGAACCUGUGCAAGCUUCGAAGUAAAAUGGCAGGGUUGGUUCUCUGUGAGCCCACAGAGCUUUACAACAUCUUGAACCAGUCCACGAAGCUCUCCAGGUUAACUGAGCCUAACUAUCUCUGUUUACUGGAUGCCCGUACAAAGCGUGAGUACAAUGAAAGCCAUGUGAUUACAGCAAGAAGGGUUAAACAGAAUUCUGUGGGGGACUACCUGGUACCUGAAUCAGUUGAGCUGGAGUGUGUCAAAUAUUGUGUCGUGUAUGAUGGCAAAACCAGCUCUUUGGAUGAUAUCUAUUGCGAUGAUUAUGAAGAGAAGGAGGAGGAUGGAAAAGGGACUAAAGCGGCCUCAGGGAUCUCAGGAUUUGAAUCCAGUUCUUUGUGUUCACCAAAUGCUGAGGUAGGGGCUGCCAUCCAGUGUGCCAGAGUCUUAGAGCAGUUCACCCGCCACCCAGUCCGCAUCCUGAAAGGAGGGUAUGAGCGCUUCACUGCGUGCUACCAUUUCUUGAGGACUCAGAAGAUAUUCUGGAUGCCUCAGGAACUGGAUGCUUUUCAGCCAUAUCCUGUAGAGGUAUUGCCUGCUCAGUUAUAUAUGGGAGAUUACAGGCAGGCCUGUGACCAACAGAUUCAGAAGGAUCUGAAAAUCAAAGCACAAGUCAACAUCUCAGAGGAGAUUGCAACACUUUUCACAGAUGAGAGCAAAACACUUCUUCAUGUUUCUGUGGCAGAUUCGCCCGAUGCAGAUCUUUUUUCCUUUUUCCCCACCAUUUGUCACUUCAUAGAUGCUAAGAUGGCUCUUGGAGCAGUUCUGGUUUUCUCUACCCUGGGUCUAAGUCGGAGCAGCACGGCGGUAAUGGCCUUCCUCAUGCAUUCGUCCCAUUAUCCCUUAAAGAGGGCUUGGAAAUACAUUCAGAAAUGCAAAACAAACAUGAGACCAAACCGUGGCUUUGUGCAACAGCUGUCAGCCUGGGAAAGCCAAAUCUAUGGGUCAGCGAUCACAGAUAUCUCUGAACCACAUUACUGACAGACAGCAAGGAGAACAUCCAACAGGCAAAGAAGCCUUUCCCUCUGUACCACAGUUUAACUUGGGCUGUACUGUUUUGGACAAUUGCGGGCAGAUUAUCAAAGUGCUGAGCAUCUGCAGCUCCCAUUAAAGCCAGUAGGGGCUGCUGGUGAGCAGCAUCAUUGAAAACCCGUCCAUGGAUCUCUACCCUUGCAUGGUAAAUAGGUACUUUACCAGACACACAGUUUCAACAGAUAAAUAUGUGAUACAGAAUUUCAACAGUUCAGGAAUUCAUCCAUUACAAAUCCAUUCUCUCAGAUGUACAGUCCAAUAUCAAGAUGGAGUUAUGCCUUCACACACACAUGUAUCUCCCAUUGAUUUAUUUGGACCCAGGCUCUCCAGCCUUGCCUCCUACUUGCAUCCUCAUAUUGCAGCAGUCAGACUUCUUUGAAGUUCUGUUGAUGCUCCAGUCACAUUAUAUUAAGCCAAAUUAAAGUCCUACCCAAGCUGAUUCCAUCACCAGAAUAGCAAUAAGAUGGGACACCUGAAGGCAAGCGAAAACAAGGCCACCUGAAAACAACUCGGCAAAGAGCGAUGGAAGCCGAGCUGAAAAACCUGGGGCACAGCUGGAGAACCAUUGAAAGCCUUGCCAGAAGCAGACAGGAGUGGAGGAGCUUCAUUGCUGCCCUAAACACCAGAGGUGUAAUGGGAACAUGAUGAUGAUGAUGAUGAAGCUCAGUACCAUCUAUCCCCUUAUAACAUUGUAAAUUCCACACAUUAGCAUCAGAGUAUAAGAGCUUAUAGAAAAUGUUAUGUAGGCCUACACCAAAUAUUGACCCACUACCCUAACAGUUAUAGUAUGUCCUUCAUUUUAAAUCUUCAUCCUAGAGCUGAACCUUCAAAAGGUUUUUUGACAGAUUGCACCAAAAACAUUUACAGCCUCAAUAACUCUAGCCUAGGACAGAAUUACUCAACCUUGAACAUUCUGCUAAUGAAUUUAGACAACUAACUACUGCUGAGUGCUGAAAUGUGUAUGCUUUGUGGAAAUUGGAUGACCAGAACUAAAAACAGCAGUGGCUGUAAUUUGCAAUCAGAGGUAAAUUUUUCUGUUCUAA